rnacentral:rRNA from 1 species
UAAACCCCGCCUGUUUACCAAAAACAUCACCUCUAGCAUAACAAGUAUUAGAGGCACUGCCUGCCCAGUGACACAAGUUAAACGGCCGCGGUAUCCUGACCGUGCAAAGGUAGCAUAAUCAUUUGUUCCUUAAUUAGGGACUAGUAUGAAUGGCCACACGAGGGUUUAACUGUCUCUUAUUUCUAAUCAGUGAAAUUGACCUUCCCGUGAAGAGGCGGGAAUAACAAAAUAAGACGAGAAGACCCUAUGGAGCUUAAAUUAUAUAACCCAAUAAUAAUAACCAUAUCUCCUAAUUCAGGGAUUAAAAACUAAUUAUUUGGAUUAUAGAUUUCGGUUGGGGUGACCUCGGAGUACAAAAUAACCUCCGAGAGAUUUAAACCAAGAUAAACAAAUCAAAGUAAUAAAUCAAACAUUGAUCCAAUCUAAUUGAUCAACGAAACAAGUUACCCUAGGGAUAACAGCGCAAUCCUAUUCAAGAGUCCUUAUCGACAAUAGGGUUUACGACCUCGAUGUUGGAUCAGGACAUCCUAAUGGUGCAGCAGCUAUUAAUGGUUCGUUUGUUCAACGAUUAAAGUCC